UGCCAGCCGCCGCGGUAAUACAGAGACUGCAAGCGUUAUUCGGAUUCACUGGGCGUAAAGGGUGCGCAGGCGGCCAGAUGUGUCAGGUGUGAAAGCUCGAGGCUCAACCUCGAAACGGCGCCUGAAACUAUCUGGCUAGAGUAUCGGAGAGGGAAGCGGAAUUCAUGGUGUAGCAGUGAAAUGCGUAGAUAUCAUGAGGAACACCAGAGGCGAAGGCGGCUUCCUGGACGAUUACUGACGCUCAGGCACGAAAGCGUGGGGAGCAAACAGGAUUAGAUA
rnacentral:rRNA from 1 species